rnacentral:rRNA from 1 species
AUGGCCAACUUCGCCGCCCAGCUCAAGGAGCGGUUCCUCGGCCUCGUCGACCGCGUCACCGGCUGCGGCCGUGGUGCCGCGGCCAAGGAGGAGGCCACCAAGCCGGCCAUGAAGGAGCACGUGGAGAUCCGAUCGAGAGCUCCCAACGUGUCAGGAGGAUCAGGGGCGGGAGUCAAUUAG